GUAGAGGAGAUGGCGCAGGGGACACGGGCCAAGACUAGGGGUUGCUGGGACCUCCCGACAUAGGUCCUCCUCUCCCUCCUCCCAG
rnacentral:pre_miRNA from 1 species